AGCCCCGUACACAAAAAUGCACAUGCUGUGAGCUCGAUGAGUAGGGCGGGACACGUGGUAUCCUGUCUGAAUAUGGGGGGACCAUCCUCCAAGGCUAAAUACUCCUGACUGACCGAUAGUGAACCAGUACCGUGAGGGAAAGGCGAAAAGAACCCCGGCGAGGGGAGUGAAAAAGAACCUGAAACCGUGUACGUACAAGCAGUGGGAGCACGCUUAGGCGUGUGACUGCGUACCUUUUGUAUAAUGGGUCAGCGACUUAUAUUCUGUAGCAAGGUUAACCGAAUAGGGGAGCCGAAGGGAAACCGAGUCUUAACUGGGCGUUAAGUUGCAGGGUAUAGACCCGAAACCCGGUGAUCUAGCCAUGGGCAGGUUGAAGGUUGGGUAACACUAACUGGAGGACCGAACCGACUAAUGUUGAAAAAUUAGCGGAUGACUUGUGGCUGGGGGUGAAAGGCCAAUCAAACCGGGAGAUAGCUGGUUCUCCCCGAAAGCUAUUUAGGUAGCGCCUCGUGAAUUCAUCUCCGGGGGUAGAGCACUGUUUCGGCAAGGGGGUCAUCCCGACUUACCAACCCGAUGCAAACUGCGAAUACCGGAGAAUGUUAUCACGGGAGACACACGGCGGGUGCUAACGUCCGUCGUGAAGAGGGAAACAACCCAGACCGCCAGCUAAGGUCCCAAAGUCAUGGUUAAGUGGGAAACGAUGUGGGAAGGCCCAGACAGCCAGGAUGUUGGCUUAGAAGCAGCCAUCAUUUAAAGAAAGCGUAAUAGCUCACUGGUCGAGUCGGCCUGCGCGGAAGAUGUAACGGGGCUAAACCAUGCACCGAAGCUGCGGCAGCGACGCUGAUGCGUUGUUGGGUAGGGGAGCGUUCUGUAAGCCUGCGAAGGUGUGCUGUGAGGCAUGCUGGAGGUAUCAGAAGUGCGAAUGCUGACAUAAGUAACGAUAAAGCGGGUGAAAAGCCCGCUCGCCGGAAGACCAAGGGUUCCUGUCCAACGUUAAUCGGGGCAGGGUGAGUCGACCCCUAAGGCGAGGCCGAAAGGCGUAGUCGAUGGGAAACAGGUUAAUAUUCCUGUACUUGGUGUUACUGCGAAGGGGGGACGGAGAAGGCUAUGUUGGCCGGGCGACGGUUGUCCCGGUUUAAGCGUGUAGGCUGGUUUUCCAGGCAAAUCCGGAAAAUCAAGGCUGAGGCGUGAUGACGAGGCACU
rnacentral:rRNA from 1 species